rfam:Triticum urartu cultivar G1812 contig658078, whole genome shotgun sequence.
AUAAUACUCCCUCUGUUCCAAACUUCUUGUCUUAGAUUUGUCUAGAUACGGAUGUAAGAUACAGCUGUAUCUAGACAAAUCUAAGACAAGAAGUUUGGGACGGAGGGAAUAUCAU